rnacentral:rRNA from 1 species
UGGUUUGCUUUAAGCGCGGAUGGCAUUAAUCCUUUCAGGGAGCAGAGCAGCAAUCACAACACCUGGCCCGUGACUCUAUGUAUGUAUAACCUUCCUCCUUGGAUGUGCAUGAAGCGGAAGUUCAUUAUGAUGCCAGUUCUCAUCCAAGGCCCUAAGCAACCCGGCAACGACAUUGAUGUGUACCUAAGGCCAUUCGUUGAAGAACUUUUACAGCUGUGGAAUGGAAACGGUGUACGUACGUGGGAUGAGCACAGACAGGAGGAAUUUAACCUUAAGGUGUUGCUGUUCGUGACCAUCAACGAUUGGCCUGCUCUCAGUAACCUUUCAGGAAUUUAG